UACGUAGGGGGCAAGCGUUGUCCGGAUUUACUGGGUGUAAAGGGCGCGCAGGUGGGCUUGAUAGUUAGAGGUGAAAUCCUGUGGCUUAACUGCAGAACUGCCUUUAAUACUUCAAGUCUUGAGUGCGGAAGAGAGAGACGGAAUUCCAGGUGUAGUAGUGAAAUACGUAGAUAUCUGGAAGAACACCAGUUGCGAAGGCGGUCUCUUGGUCCGUAACUGACACUUAGGCGCGAAAGCGUGGGGAGCAAACAGG
rnacentral:rRNA from 2 species